rnacentral:rRNA from 1 species
UACGUAGGGUCCGAGCGUUGUCCGGAGUUACUGGGCGUAAAGCGCGCGCAGGCGGCGGUGCUGGCCCGGCGUGAAAGCCCCCGGCUCAACCGGGGAGAGUCGUCGGGGACCGCACCGCUUGAGGGCGGUAGGGGCUGGUGGAAUGCCUGGUGUAGUGGUGAAAUGCGUAGAGAUCAGGCAGAACACCUGGGGCGAAGGCGGCCAGCUGGGCCGUCCCUGACGCUGAGGCGCGAAAGCUAGGGUAGCAAACGGGG